GGUCCGGUGGUGUAGAUGGAUAUCACAUCGUUCUUAUAGGCGAGUCUACAGCUCAUCAUAUGCGAGGGUCCCGGGUUCAAUCCCCGGUCGGACCA